GACGGAGGUUGCAAGCGUUAUCCGGAAUGAUUGGGCGUAAAGCGUCCGCAGGUGGCAGUUCAAGUCUGCUGUCAAAGACCGGGGCUUAACUUCGGAAAGGCAGUGGAAACUGAACAGCUAGAGUAUGGUAGGGGCAGAGGGAAUUCCUGGUGUAGCGGUGAAGUGCGUAGAUAUCAGGAAGAACAUCGGUGGCGAAGGCGCUCUGCUGGACCAUAACUGACACUCAGGGACGAAAGCUAGGGGAGCGAAUGGG
rnacentral:rRNA from 1 species